CACUUGUAUAGCUGGAAAAUCCAAAAGCAAGAUGGCAGCUCCCCUCUGGGGAUCCUGGGAUACCAGUCAUCGAAUGUAGAGGCUGCCCUAAUUCUGAAUCGCUUUUGUUAUGGUUGAGGCUGAAAUGUCCUCUAUGGGAUCCUGACCAAAUGGUCUCCAGCUCCUAGCAGGAAAUUGAACAAUAUUAAACGAAGCCAGAGAUGUGAUGGAGAUAGAGGCAUUGUGGAAGGAACAAAGCAAUGCGAAUGUGUGGAGUCUCAGGUCUAGGGAAGAUGAGGGACGUGAUAAUCGAAUAUUAAAGCAGAGGAGAUGCGCUGCAGCUCGUGUGCCAUUCAUCACUGCUUUCAUCCUGGUCUGGUGGCGGAAUCCGGAGUCUGAGGAGACAUGGGCAUUAUCUCUGCAGUUUAUUUACAUCUCGAAUCAGGUCGCACUGACAAGAGAGAAAGGAAUUCCAGGGAAGAAAUGUAACUAAGUGAUAUAUUUCUUGCAGAAAGUGCAAACAAA